UCCAACAAAGAAUCAGAUUCGAUAGACCCC
rnacentral:piRNA from 1 species